AUUGAACGCCGGCGGCAGGCUUAACACAUGCAAGUCGAGCGGGGGAAGGUAGCUUGCUACCGUACCUAGCGGCGGACGGGUGAGUAAUGCUUAGGAAUCUGCCUAUUAGUGGGGGACAACAUCUCGAAAGGGAUGCUAAUACCGCAUACGUCCUACGGGAGCAAGCAGGGGAUCUUCGGACCUUGCGCUAAUAGAUGAGCUUAAGUCGGAUUAGCUAGUUGGUGGGGUAAAGGCCUACCAAGGCGACGAUCUGUAGCGGGUCUGAGAGGAUGAUCCGCCACACUGGGACUGAGACACGGCCCAGACUCCUACGGGAGGCAGCAGUGGGGAAUAUUGGACAAUGGGGGGAACCCUGAUCCAGCCAUGCCGCGCGUGUGAAGAAGGCCUUAUGGUUGUAAAGCACUUUAAGCGAGGAGGAGGCUACUUUAGUUAAUACCUAGAGAUAGUGGACGUUACUCGCAGAAUAAGCACCGGCUAACUCUGUGCCAGCAGCCGCAGUAA
rnacentral:rRNA from 1 species